CAGUCGCCACGGGAAUACAGAGGGUGCGAGCGUUAAUCGGAUUUACUGGGCGUAAAGCGUGCGUAGGCGGCUUCUUAAGUCGGAUGUGAAAUCCCUGAGCUUAACUUAGGAAUUGCAUUCGAUACUGGGAAGCUAGAGUAUGGGAGAGGAUGGUAGAAUUCCAGGUGUAGCGGUGAAAUGCGUAGAGAUCUGGAGGAAUACCGAUGGCGAAGGCAGCCAUCUGACCUAAUACUGACGCUGAGGUACGAAAGCAUGGGGAGCAAACAGGAUUAGAUACCCGAGUAGUCCCUGUCUUUUAUAC
rnacentral:rRNA from 1 species